GUCCAACUGACGAGUCCCAAAUAGGACGAAACACGCGUCCUGGAU
rnacentral:hammerhead_ribozyme from 1 species